rnacentral:misc_RNA from 1 species
CCUAAGAGAUACGUGUUAUGUGCAGUGCUCACACAGAUUGUCUGAUGAAGAACGAGCAAAAGCGCGUCUGCGAAGCUGACUGAAGUCCCCUUCGUCUAGAGGCCUAGGACACCGCCCUUUCACGGCGGUAACAGGGGUUCGAAUCCCCUAGGGGACGCCAAUUGCGCGGUAUGAGUGAAAGGCGUACCACACUAUAGUCUGAUGCAAGUCAGAGAAUAGUUAAGAUAAUUCGUAUGAGUUAUUUUACCUAUUAUGCUCUUUAACAAUCUGGAACAAGCUGAAAAAUUGAAAACAAAUCAAUAUAUCACCGAGGUAUAUUGAUGAGUCUCUCAAAAUCUCAGACCUUGAAGUGUGACACUCCAAGACAUUUGUCCUCGAGAAGAAACAUCUUCGGGUUGUGA